AAAAACCAAUAAAAACAAGAAGUAAUUGUAACAGGAUGCUGUUACGAAGUCUCCCAAACAAAGCUCCCAUAACUCGCCAUUCAUAUGGUCCCAUGUUCAUUUGAUUUGAUUUUUUGUCCCAUACAAGAAUAUAAUAUAUGGCUUACGAGUGGGGAUCUCCACCAUUUACAAGUAUUCAAACAGGAGGGGGUGGUGAUGACCCCCAGGGACUUUACCUACAUUUCAUUUGAUUUGUUUAAUUG
rnacentral:lncRNA from 1 species